rnacentral:misc_RNA from 1 species
GAUGAAGAACGAAGCGAAAUGCGAUAAGUAGUGUGAAUUGCAGAAUUCAGUGAAUCAUCGAAUCUUUGAACGCACAUUGCGCCCCUUGGUAUUCCAUGGGGCAUGCCUGUUCGAGCGUCAUUUGUACCUUCAAGCUCUGCUUGGUGUUGGGUGUUUGUCUCGCCUCUGCGCGUAGACUCGCCUCAAAACAAUUGGCAGCCGGCGUAUUGAUUUCGGAGCGCAGUACAUCUCGCGCUUUGCACUCAUAACGACGACGUCCAAAAGUACAUUUUUACACUCUUGACCUCGGAUCAGGUAGGGAUACCCGCUGAACUUAAGCAUAUCAAUAAGCGGAGGA